rnacentral:rRNA from 1 species
GUGCCAGCAGCCGCGGUAAUACGUAGGUGGCAAGCGUUGUCCGGAUUUAUUGGGCGUAAAGCGAGCGCAGGCGGUUUCUUAAGUCUGAUGUGAAAGCCCCCGGCUCAACCGGGGAGGGUCAUUGGAAACUGGGAGACUUGAGUGCAGAAGAGGAGAGUGGAAUUCCAUGUGUAGCGGUGAAAUGCGUAGAUAUAUGGAGGAACACCAGUGGCGAAGGCGACUCUCUGGUCUGUAACUGACGCUGAGGCUCGAAAGCGUGGGGAGCAAACAGGAUUAGAUACCCUGGUAGUCC